rnacentral:rRNA from 1 species
UCCUGGUGUAGCGGUGAAAUGCGUAGAUAUCAGGAGGAACAUCAGUGGCGAAAGCGCUUUACUGGGCCGUAAUUGACACUGAGGAACGAAAGCCAGGGUAGCAAAUGGGAUUAGAUACCCCAGUAGUCCUGGCCGUAAACGAUGGAUACUAGGUGUUGCGGGUAUCGACCCCUGCAGUGCCGUAGCUAACGCGUUAAGUAUCCCGCCUGGGGAGUACGCACGCAAGUGUGAAACUCAAAGGAAUUGACGGGGACCCGCACAAGCGGUGGAACAUGUGGUUUAAUUCGAAGCAACGCGAAGAACCUUACCAGGGCUUGACAUCUAACAAACCUUUGUGAAAGCAAAGGGUGCUCUUCGGAGAAUGUUAAGACAGGUGGUGCACGGUUGUCGUCAGCUCGUGUCGUGAGAUGUUGGGUUAAGUCCCGCAACGAGCGCAACCCUCGUCGUUAGUUGGUACUAUCGGUAUACUUAUAGUAACCUCUCUAGCGAGACUGCCGGUGAUAAACCGGAGGAAGGUGAGGACGACGUCAAAUCAUCAUGCCCCUUAUGACUUGGGCUACACACGUGUUACAAUGGCCGGUACAAUGAGCCGCCAACUCGCGAGAGUGAGCAAAUCUCUAAAAGCCGGUCUCAGUUCGGAUUGCAGUCUGCAACUCGACUGCAUGAAG